rnacentral:rRNA from 1 species
CCCUAUGGGGUGCAGCAGGGGCGACGCUUUGCAAGACGAGCGGCCUCAUCCGUACCGACACACUCAGGACGCACGUACAACCGAGAUUUGCAGGAUUUUCGAACCCGGCAACCCAGACCGAUCAGGCAUCCCGGAUAUCAGGUGACUUUGACGCCAAGGAGGAGAGAAACCAAUGGCCAACUUUCUGGUUGAUGAGAGGGACGCAAAGUUCGUGCUCUACGAACAGCUGAGAAUUGACGAACUUUGUCAAUCUGAGAAAUUCAAGGAAUUUUCAAAAGAAACCUUUGAUAUGGUGAUGGACGCGGCCCAGAAGCUUGCUGAAAAGGAAUUGGCGGGGGAGC